CGGCGGACCCCUCCCUGCCGGUGACUCCUCGAGGCCUCCAGCCCGGUGCUGUCUUCCCGGUCCCUCGCCGAGGACCCCCCAAGCCCAGGUGCUUUGAGAAUGGGCUGCUCAGCCUUGCUGAUCUCGGUGGAGGGGCGACUCGGUGGGGCCCUGGACGUGCGCGGGCCUCUGCCACUUUCUGUAGUGAGGAUCUAACCCAGGGGCACAUGCGUGCCAGGAUAGCUCUGUUUGCUGCACUGUGUUUGAGUCUUAAAGCAUAACUUAAAAAAGGAUACAUUUACUUUCAUGGCGAUGAGUAUUUUGUGUGCAUGAGGACCACUGAAAUAGAGCCCUGCAGAGAACACCAGGACGUGAUGGCUGGCUAUUGUACCUGGAGUCGGCAGGGGAAGGAAAGAAGCUGCGUGUUCCCUGUGCCUUCCGUAUGGACACUGCCAUUCCUGGGCUCUAGAAAGGUCUUCACGGCAGGUGUUUCUCACUAUCCUUGUUUGAUGAAGAACCCAAAGCUUGACAUGAAGUGACUAAUUAGAAGUCACAAAGUUGGUGUGGGCUCUGAGUCCAGUUGUUGUCUGCUUUCUCCAACAGAACUUGUAAAACUAACAGAAGGAUCUUUGUGGAAUCUCAGUGUAGUGACACUUUUGUUUUGUUUUGUUUUUUGAGACAGAGUUUCUCUGUGUAGUCCUGGCUGUCC